rnacentral:tRNA from 1 species
AAGCCUGUAACUCAGUUUGGCAGAGUGUCACCCUUACAAGGUGGAUGUCAGGGGUUCGAAUCCCUCAGGCUUA